UCCCGAGUAGCUCAGUGGUCAGAGCGCUCCGGUCUUGUGUGAGAGGUCGCUGGUUCGAAUCCAGCUUCGGGAACGA
rnacentral:tRNA from 1 species